GUUUUUAUAGUGUAAACAACACAUUACAUUUUCACUGUAAAGCCGAAGGUCCCACUUCUAAAAAUA
rnacentral:tRNA from 1 species